rnacentral:lncRNA from 1 species
CUUUCCUUUUGGAGGACAGUUUUAGGAUUUUUUCCCCUAGAAAGUUUUGAGGCUAUGAUCCAUGCUAAAAGUGCCCUGUUCCAUUAUGUACCAACACAGCUUUGAAGCUGUCCCUGCUUCUAGGUCAAGGGCUCUCCCUGUGGCCAGAUGCCAGUUUUAUCCUUGGACUCUCAUGAUCCUCGGAAAUAAAUCAACUUUCCAGUAAAAUCCUGUGAUAGCUCUGUUUUACAUAAAAGUGCGCAGCCUGGGGAUGCGAUACUGUUUUGCGUUUUAAGUGGACAAGAUGGGACAGAAAACAUCCGUUAUCACUAGAGACAAUUCCAAGUGGAGCCAUUAUUACAGACAUCAGAGGGCUGCUUGGAGUUGUGGCAUAUGGGAUGACGCCCCAGCGUGGCUUGAUGAGCAGUGCCAUGUCCGCGCUCAGGAUUCGAACCAACGAAACACUGGGCCACCUGCAGCGGAGCGCGCGAACUUAACCACUCGGCCACGAGGCAAGCUGAAGUCUGAGGCUCUGGAUCAGAGUUUUGGAAGAAGGGGUUGAACACAAGUGGAACUGGUCUAGUCCAGGGCUUCUGAACGCUACAUUUUGGAGGAAGGCCAUCUUGGGAAGUUCCAAAGUACUUUGGAAAAGAUUAUGUUGAAAGAAAUACCCUCAUGGACAAAUCCAGAAAUAAUGUUGUACCAGCUAUAUGGACAUCCCUUAGCCCAGUCAAGUUGACAAUAAAAUUAAGCAUCACACAUGGCAAGAGGAAGUUUAUUAGGGGCUUCAGAUGUUUCGGCAGCAUGUUUUCAGGGAGCGAACGCAUCUUGGAAGUUUCUUUACUGAAUGCAAUUCAGAAGAGUCUCCAAGCACCAUGUGUGAGAGAACAUGACAGAAUAGAAACUGAUUAUGCAAAAUGUGCGAGAGAGAACUGCAGCUCUUGGUGACAUGUGGCAGCCUCGCUGGGAAAGGAGAGCUGUGGAACUCCGGCAGGAGCUGCUGCCUCCAAGAGAAGAGCAGAACACUGCCAACCCAUGGACCUACAGGAGGGGAACCAGGAGAGUAAAUACCUGAAGCUCUUUCGUCACAGCCUUCCAUCUCCUACCAGAGCCUCCCAUUGGCUAAACCCAACUGAGAGACUGAGGAUAAGGGAGCCCAGUAGAAGUCCAUAGCGGACAGCCUCUGAGCCCCUGAGCAGAUUGGAGAAGGAUGGAAAAUGGAUCUGGAGAGCAAACAGAGAAUAUUUAACAUAGACAACAAGAAAUGCUUUCAAUUUAUUAAUAUAG